UACGAAGGGGGCUAGCGUUGCUCGGAAUCACUGGGCGUAAAGGGCGCGUAGGCGGGCUCUUAAGUCAGGGGCGAAAGCCCAAGGCUCAACCUUGGAAUUGCCUUUGAUACUGAGGGCCUUGAGACCGGAAGAGGUCGGCGGAACUGCGAGUGUAGAGGUGAAAUUCGUAGAUAUUCGCAAGAACACCAGUGGCGAAGGCGGCCGACUGGUCCGGUUCUGACGCUGAGGCGCGAAAGCGUGGGGAGCAAACAGG
rnacentral:rRNA from 1 species